AGAAUCAACGCUGGCGGCGUGCCUAACACAUGCAAGUCGAACGAGAAAGUGGAGCAAUCCAUGAGUAAAGUGGCGCACGGGUGAGUAACACGUGACUAACCUACCCUUGAGUGGGGGAUAACCUAGGGAAACCUGGGCUAAUACCGCAUAAUACCUACGGGUCAAAGGAGCAAUUCGCUUAAGGAGGGGGUCGCGGCAGAUUAGUUAGUUGGCGGGGUAAUGGCCCACCAAGACAGUGAUCUGUA
rnacentral:rRNA from 1 species